GAACCUGGGGGGACCACCCUCCAAGGCUAAGUACUACCUGGUGACCGAUAGUGAACUAGUACCGUGAGGGAAAGGUGAAAAGCACCCCUGAAGGGGAGUGAAAUAGUACCUGAAACCGCAAGCCUACAAGUGGUCGGAGCACCUUCGGGUGUGACGGCGUGCUUUUUGCAUCACGAGCCGGCGAGUUACUCGUCAGUGGCAAGGUUAAGCGAUGAGCGGAGCCGUAGCGAAAGCGAGUCUGAAUAGGGCGACACAGUCACUGGCGGUAGACCCGAAACUGAGCGAGCUAUCCAUGGGCAGGCUGAAGCGGGGGUAAGACCUCGUGGAGGGCCGAACCCACCUAGGUUGAAAACUGGGGGGAUGACCUGUGGAUCGGAGUGAAAGGCUAAUCAAGCUCAGAGAUAUCUGGUUCUCUCCGAAAUAUAUUUAGGUAUAGCCUCGGAUCAAUUGCGUUUUGGCCGUAGAGCACUGUUUGGCCUAGGGGCCCUACCAGGUUACCGAAGUCAGGCAAACUCCGAAGACCACUACGUGUACUCCGGGAGUCAGUUGCUGGGGGAUAAACUUCAGCGUCAAAAGGGAAACAGCCCAGACCGCCAGCUAAGGUCCCCAAAUACUAGCUAAGUGGCAAACGAUGUUCGAAUGCACAGACAACCAGGAGGUUGGCUUAGAAGCAGCCAUCCUUGAAAGAGUGCGUAACAGCUCACUGGUCAAGUGUUCGAGCGCGGAUAAUGUAACGGGGCUCAAGCUAGUUACCGAAGCUACGGGUGCAUACUUCUGGUAUGCGCGGUAGGAGAGCGUUCCCAUGGCAGUGAAGCGACGGGGGAACCCAGUCGUGGAGCCCUGGGAAGUGAGAAUGUCGGCAUGAGUAACGAAAGAGGGGUGAGAAUCCCCUCCACCGAUUGCCCAAGGAUUCCUGAGUAAAGUUCGUCUGCUCAGGGUUAGUCGGGACCUAAGGCGAGGCCGAAAGGCGUAGUCGAUGGACAACAGGUUGAUAUUCCUGUACCACGUCGCAGUCAUUUGACUGAUGGGGGGACGGGGAAGGCUAUGGAAACCCAGGCGAUGGUCGUCCUGGGGUAAGCGUGUAGGGGUGGCUCUAGACAAAUGCGGAGCCGCGUAACCUGAGGCGCGAUGCCAGCUGGCUAUAAGCCGGCGAGUUCCGGAAGCCAUGCCUCCAAGAAAAUCCUCUAGGGAGACUUCGCGUGCCCGUACCAAAACCGACACAGGUGCGCAAGUAGAGAAUACUAAGGUGAUCGAGAUAACCAUCGUUAAGGAACUCGGCAAAAUCGCUCCGUAACUUCGGGAUAAGGAGCGCCCCAGUAGGGUGAAGCGGCUUGCCCGUGGAGCCCGAGAGGGCCGCAGUGAAUAGGUUCAACCGACUGUUUACCAAAAACACAGGUCUCUGCUAAGUCGUAAGACGACGUAUAGGGGCUGACGCCUGCCCGGUGCUGGAAGGUCACGAGGAGAGGUUAGCCUUCGGGCGAAGCUUUGAAUCCAAGCCCCAGUAAACGGCGGCGGUAACUAUAACCGUCCUAAGGUAGCGAAAUUCCUUGUCGGGUAAGUUCCGACCUGCACGAAUGGCGUAACGACUUGGGCGCUGUCUCAACGAGGGAUCCGGUGAAAUUGUAGUCUCGGUGAAGAUGCCGAGUACCCGUGGCUGGACGGAAAGACCCCGUGAACCUUUACUGCAGCUUUGCGUUGAAGUCUGGUAUUCGUCGUCCAGGAUAGGUGGGAGACUGUGAAACGGGGGCGCUAGCUCUCGUGGAGUCACCCUUGGGAUACCACCCUUCGGGUUCUGGGCUUCUAACCUGGCGCCGUGAUCCGGGCCGGGAACAGCGUGA
rnacentral:rRNA from 1 species